AUUUAAUGUCAUUAAGAAAAUACCUAUUGUGCCUGGGCGAGUAGUUAACUUGGAGCAACUGGAGGAAUCUCAUUGCCCAGUUCUGAGCACAAUACGAGUGGCAGGUUAUUUUCUCGUUGAUUCCGAGCUUUCAAAAUCUUGGAGGUAGUUUCUUGGCUAUUCCGCAACGUCCAAACUUCCUAUCUUUAUAUUUUGUCGUCCAUAUUUAAGAUCUUAUAAGCUUGUAUUCUUGUCACCAAAUUUUAGGCGUUGAUAUCUUUUUUCCCAGAUUCUGUACUUGAUUUUAUGAAAGAUUCGUUUAAAGAUUUA